UCUACAGAUGCACGGCUGGUGGUGUGGCUCAGACGGAGCAAGGGUUACAUCAAGGCUGUUCUCUGGACCGUGCAAACAGUCUAGACCAAUGACCUGCAGCAUCAUGCCCUUUGAAGAAGAGGCAAGUUCGGUCAUGAUGAAGAAAAAUCAAGGCGUACCCCUUUUAACAAUAGGGAGCAGCUCGAGGCUGCAAAGAGGUUAUUUAUCAUUAAAAUGGCAUUGUAAAGUGAUGACUCAGAAGUUAACAGUGAAUACUUGA
rnacentral:lncRNA from 1 species